rnacentral:rRNA from 1 species
UACGUAGGGUGCGAGCGUUGUCCGGAAUUAUUGGGCGUAAAGCGCGUGUAGGCGGUUCGGUAAGUCCGCUGUGAAAGUCGGGGGCUCAACCCUCGGAUGCCGGUGGAUACUGUCGAGCUUGAGUACGGAAGAGGCGAGUGGAAUUCCUGGUGUAGCGGUGGAAUGCGCAGAUAUCAGGAGGAACACCGAUGGCGAAGGCGGGUCUCUGGGCCGAAAUUGGACGCUGAGGAGCGAAAGCGUGGGGAGCGAUCCGG